UGUUUUGUAAUUGUUCUUGGU
ensembl:piRNA 21ur-1412 ncRNA